CGCAUGCCUAAACGCCCAACGAGUUUAAUACAUGAUUAUUAUAAUGAAUUACACGCGUUUUCGAAAUUAUGCGACCAGGCGAAAAUAGCUGGAGUUAACAUGUCAGUUUUAUGUCACACGGUCACGAAGUUCAAACUGUUUACAACUUUUAGUUUUGCGGUUCAUUAUCGAUAUAUAUGCUUAGUAUCCUUUAUAUAUAAAGCCUGGGAGAAGGAUUUUCAAGUUAUUUGUGUGAUAAUUAUUGCAAAAUUUAAGCACAACGAAAUCAUAAUAUUACCGCUAUAAUCUAGCGCAGGCGGGUUUAAUACACAGUAAAAUCGAGGUACAAAAUUGUUCUUUUCCGAACUUUGAAAGUCAAUCUCGCCACAGAUUUCUGUUGUGAUGGCUUUUUGUUCCUUUUAGUUUGUAUAUCUAGCUCAUUUUGAUUCAAUUUUCUUCUUUAAGUAUUAAAUACGUUAUAAAAUGACUUUUGUUUACGUUUGCUAUUUUUAGAUAAAACUUAUUAAUUAACUGACAUUUGAACAAACAUUAUUUUCGAGUUAGUCGAUCGCGUGAUUUUGGAAACGGGUGUAAUUAGGGAGGGACCAUUAGAAAAGUGAUGGGGGGGGGGUCCAUGUCCAACGUGCACGAUUAUUUUUUCAAAAUUUUUUGCUGUGUCGAUUUUUUUUUUAAUCCCUUGCUCGAUUUUAUUUUUUUUCUUAGCGGGGCGGGGGGGGAGGGGGCGGCGAAGUGAAUUUUUUUUCCGGACCACACCAGUGUUGUUAACGUUUAAAACACAUUUUCCCUUAAAACAUGAUUAAAACGCUUUUUUUGCACCAAUAUCCACUACAUUUAGGUUUAAAAUUUUUUUCUCACACUAUUACUAACUGAAAAAUUUCCAAAUUAUUUUUUUUUAUUUUCCAAAUUUGGGGGCCACCUUUACACUGUACCUCUGAUAGGCCCUGUCAACAUAUAAUUUUCCCUAUUGAAAAGUCUCUACACGAAUUUUUAUUUCAAACUUUUCUGGUGCACGAGUUUUUUCUGUUCCCCCUGCUCGAUUUUUCUUUUUGCUUUUGUCCCCCCCCCCCCAUCACUUAUCCAAUGGUCCGCCCCUUAUAUGACUGACUCUUGAUAUAAUUUAAUGUAAUGUUUUGAGGGCUGUUUUUAUUAUUAGACUUAACUGUUAGCUUUUUCUUUGGUUGCAUGUUCUCAUCAGUUUGAUUUGUAUUUGUCAUGCUUUACCAACAUUACAUGUAAAAUUAUUGAACUCGGCAAUUUUCCCGCCAAAACGGACCGGUCAGGUAAGACAGGUAAAUAAAAGGCAUAUUGACUUUGUCAAGCCAGCGCAGCAGUGGUUUGAAGGUUUUGAGGAUUUUUGAAUCUAACCCACCUUAUAUUCAAAAAUCCUCAAAACCUUCAAUAAAAUAAAGCGUUUUGCAAGAUUUUUU